UGUUAAGCUUUGUGGAUUUAAAAGAAAAACAUAUGGACUUCAAAAGACUUUAAACAUCAUAAAUUAAUUUUUCCUUUUGUUUAUAUUAAUACUGUGGUUAAGAUUAAUUAUUGAGUUAUUGCACUUAAGUGAAGGAAAGUGUAACAUUCUAAGUUUCUCAUCUCUACGUAUUGUCAUAUCUAUGGUCAUCUUCCUAUUGAAAAGGAAAAGGUAAUACUUCCCUUUCUGUUUUUGUCAGCCAUGAUGUAGACUUCAAAAUUUUUGUGCUAGUCACGUAUCCAUCGACAUCCAUGUCGAAAGUUGUGUAUUUACUACCGCAAUAGCGGUCCGGGUGUUGGCGACCUCUCGCUGCCCCAUACCUGAGGCGUGAUCCAUAAGCUUCGCCCAUAACAUCUGGGCACCCCAGGGCUUGUCCCGUGGUUCUACGGCGAUGGGAGCCGCCAACAAAAUCCCAGGAAAGUUUUCGACGACUAAAUCCUAAGCAUGCAGCAUGGGUAGUUAACCUGUUUCGGCCACGCGUAUCUUCUUGCAAUUUCAUCGACUAUUUCAUCAAACUACCCCUUUGGCAUCGAAAUCAACAGUUAAUUAAUGAGCAAUUUUUUAAUGAUAAUAUUUUAAUACUUUCUGUAUCUUAAAUUUAUGUUAAUUUUUUGAAAAUGUAACUAAGUAAUAAUUAUUUUGGGGCCCCAUUUUUGUUUUGACUGUACGAAUACUCAAUUAAUACUCUUUAUCUUGUUUUAAAUAAAUAUGUUUUGUUAUGGCUGACCC